AUUGAACGCUGGCGGAAUGCUUUACACAUGCAAGUCGAGCGGCAGCACGGGGGCAACCCUGGUGGCGAGCGGCGAACGGGUGAGUAACACAUCGGAACAUGCCCAGUCGUGGGGGAUAACACUUCGAAAGAAGUGCUAAUACCGCAUACGUCCUGAGGGAGAAAGCGGGGGAUCGCAAGACCUCGCGCGAUUGGAGUGGCCGAUGUCAGAUUAGCUAGUUGGUGGGGUAAAGGCCUACCAAGGCAACGAUCUGUAGCUGGUCUGAGAGGAUGAUCAGCCACACUGGGACUGAGACACGGCCCAGACUCCUACGGGAGGCAGCAGUGGGGAAUUUUGGACAAUGGGGGCAACCCUGAUCCAGCCAUUCCGCGUGAGUGAAGAAGGCCUUCGGGUUGUAAAGCUCUUUCGGCAGGAACGAAACGGUGAGCUCUAACAUAGCUUGCUAAUGACGGUACCUGAAAAAGAAGCACCGGCUAACUACGUG
rnacentral:rRNA from 1 species